rnacentral:tRNA from 1 species
AAGGAUUUAGGUUAAAAAAACCUAUGACCUUCAAAGUCAUCAUUAAAACUAAGUUUUAAGCCUUA